rnacentral:rRNA from 1 species
CUAUAAUGCAGUCGAGCGAGCCGAACCAAUUGAUUACCUUCGGGUAUGAAGUUAGGGAAGCGAGCGGCGGAUGGGUGAGUAACACGUGGGUAACCUACCCUAUAGUCUGGGAUACCACUUGGAAACAGGUGCUAAUACCGGAUAAAAGGAGAGAUCACAUGAUUUCUUUUUGAAAGGCGGCGUAAGCUGUCGCUAAAGGAUGGACCCGCGGUGCAUUAGCUAGUUGGUAAGGUAACGGCUUACCAAGGCAACGAUGCAUAGCCGAGUUGAGAGACUGAUCGGCCACAUUGGGACUGAGACACGGCCCAAACUCCUACGGGAGGCAGCAGUAGGGAAUCUUCCACAAUGGACGCAAGUCUGAUGGAGCAACGCCGCGUGAGUGAAGAAGGUUUUCGGAUCGUAAAGCUCUGUUGUUGGUGAAGAAAGAUAGUGAGAGUAACUGCUCAUUAUUUGCCGGUAAUCAACCAGAAAGUCACGGCUAACUACGUGCCAGCAGCCGCGGUAAUACGUAGGUGGCAAGCGUUGUCCGGAUUUAUUGGGCGUAAAGCGAGCGCAGGCGGAAAGAUAAGUCAGAUGUGAAAGCCCUCGGCUUAGCCGAGGAAUAGCAUCGGAAACUGUCUUUCUUGAGUGCAGAAGAGGAGAGUGGAAUUCCAUGUGUAGCGGUGGAAUGCGUAGAUAUAUGGAAGAACACCAGUGGCGAAGGCGGCUCUCUGGUCUGUAACUGACGCUGAGGCUCGAAA